rnacentral:rRNA from 1 species
AUUGAACGCUAGCGGCAGGCUUAACACAUGCAAGUCGAGCGGGGUGAUGGUGCUUGCACUAUCACUUAGCGGCGGACGGGUGAGUAAUGCUUAGGAAUCUGCCUAUUAGUGGGGGACAACAUCUCGAAAGGGAUGCUAAUACCGCAUACGUCCUACGGGAGAAAGCAGGGGAUCACUUGUGACCUUGCGCUAAUAGAUGAGCCUAAGUCGGAUUAGCUAGUUGGUGGGGUAAAGGCCUACCAAGGCGACGAUCUGUAGCGGGUCUGAGAGGAUGAUCCGCCACACUGGGACUGAGACACGGCCCAGACUCCUACGGGAGGCAGCAGUGGGGAAUAUUGGACAAUGGGGGGAACCCUGAUCCAGCCAUGCCGCGUGUGCGAAGAAGGCCUUAUGGUUGUAAAGCACUUUAAGCGAGGAGGAGGCUCUUUUGGUUAAUACCCAAGAUGAGUGGACGUUACUCGCAGAAUAAGCACCGGCUAACUCUGUGCCAGCCGCCGCGGUAA